rnacentral:lncRNA from 1 species
AUAUUUUUACUCGCUUCUCUGUAAUUGGUAUUUUUAACCUUGUUCCAUCUAACUCCCGCAAUGAGUAAGUUGCAUUAUCAUGAAUAGUUGUUACCACAUACGGUCUAAACCAUCAUUUAGAAUUUUUUUUUAAAGUACUAUGUUGAUUAUCAAAGCUACUAUCAUAGACUAAAAUCCAAUCACCUUCUUCAAUUGCUUUAGGCC